rnacentral:misc_RNA from 1 species
CGCCACCGCUCGUCUUCUCGCCCCACUCCGCGCUGCCGCCAGUUGGAAGAUUGUCGGCACGCGCCUCGCUCGUACACGCGCGCGGUGGAGGAUUUGGUUGUACAGACAGGGCAUUUUCACGUUCUAAUUUUCUAGCUGCUCGAGACUGCGAUGCGCACGGAAGAGUACGACGAAGGAGAGGUGCUCACCGGGGCGGAGCUUUACCUCUACCUGUUGCGCCAAAACGAAGCACAGCUACUGCGAGCGCAGGAGAAACUGCGCGAGUACUCGACCCUCAAGGACACCCUUCACGUCCUGACGGAGCGCAGCCGCAGACGCGUGCUGGCCCCUGUCGCUGGUGGCCUCGCCUACUAUGCUGCGGAGCUGAACGCGACGAACACCAUCUUGGUAUUACUGGGCGACGGCUGGUUCGCGGAGCGCAGUGCCAUUCAGGCCGCAGAAAUCGCUGGCCGGCGCGCUGACUUCCUGCGUCGGGAGACUGAAGUCCUGCAGCAGGAGCAGAGCACUCUCAGGGCUAAGCAGGAGCUAUUCAUGUCGGAGCUGCCCGAGGCACAAGAGGCCGUCGCGGAGUUGCUGGCGGCGAGGGAGACUGAAGUGCCGGCUGCCCAGUCGCCGUCGCAGUCUUCGCCGGCAUCCCAGCCACCGCAGCCACCAUCGCAAGAAGGCGCGCCUUCCUCGGGGUCUGUCACGCCGGCAAGCGCACCUGACCGCUCCGGUGCACCCGACGCGGUGCGUGCCGCUGCGUCUCCCCGCUUCGCGUCAUCCGGAAGCUGCCCAGCCCCGCUCCCAUCGUCGACACCACCAACCUCGAGGACACCAUCCACGUCCUCUGGGUUGCCGCUGGACUACUCUUCCAUCGACGUGGCGCUCACCACCUUCGAUGAGCAGGACGAGCUCACAGAAGACGAGCUCAUCGCGCUGGAGGCGGAGCUGGGUGACCGCGUCAACGACGACGACUUUGUGGAGCGUGUCAUGACGGAGCGCAUGAUUGCCAAGAAGGAGAGGCGCAUCCGCGCAGAGCUGGAACGGCGAAGCGGCGGUGCGGCUGCGAUCGAGAACAGGUCGAAGGCCGCGGAGGGUGCACCCGUGUCCGCCUUACCCCCAACCUCCGCUUCGGCAGCGGCGCCAACUGCCACUGCUGCUCCUCGGUCACAUGGUACUGCGUCUGCCGCAGUCGCCAGUGCCGCAGACAACAACGGAUCAUCGGCUAGCAGGCGAGAGGCAGUGACCUAUCGAACCCCCGGCGACAUUGGUGGGACGGCCGCGAGAUCUCUGGUGGUACCCAGCGCGCCCACCGACGCGCUUCCGGAAGCGCAAGCGGCGGCUUCCUUUUCUCUUAACGAGCUCGUGAGUGAGCCUGCACCGACAUCGUCGCUUUCGACGGCUGCUGUAACCUCUGCGCGGCCCCUCGCCAGUGCGGCGCUGAACGAGGCGGAUGUCUCGUCUGCGGCCUCCUCCUCGGCUUCGGCCGCGAAGCCGUCUCGCCGGAAAGAGCAGCACGUGCGAUUUGAUGCAGACGUGAAGGAUACAGGUAACUCAUUCUCGGUGACUGCUGUGGUUGAGGCAAGGCGGCCCCAAGUGGUGAACUCCCCUGGUGAACUGGCCUCGUGCGAUCAGCGUAUUAGCGCCGAAAAAGCCCCAGGGGACACACAGUCGCUGUUCCGGAGCACCUACAUCAUUGGUGAUAUUGUGGAGCGCAACGAGGGGACGGCGAAUGGUGGUGGCAGUGGUGCUGUUGCUGGUGCUGCAGUAGGUCGUGGCGUCGCAUCCGUCAUGCCACCGCCGCCCCUCCUUCCUGGCCAGCGGCAGAAGCCAAAGCCCAAAUCGAUCUUCAUGCGAGAGCUGGAGGGCGACGGAGCGUGAGGCGAGCGCGGCGUCGAUGCGUUUGUGUGUGCUGGUCUGUGGGAUACCGUGGGAGGGAGGGGGUGGGCGCGGCACACUUGUUCACCUCCCCACCUGCACUCGGUCAAGAAGCCUCGCUAACGGGAGGCAUGCGCAGAGCCG